UUAACUUCUGUGUGUUCACUUUCUUGAUUGUUUCUAUUCCUCUCUUUUAUUUUUUGAGACAGAGUCUCACUCUGUUGCCCAGGCUGGAGUGCAGUAGCAUGCUCAUGGCUCACUGCAGCCUCGACCUCCUGAGCUAAAGCAGUCCUCUCACUGCAGCCUUCCGAGUAGCUGGGGCUAUAGGCGUGCCACCACCACACCUAAUUUUUGUAUGUUUUGUAGAGACAGGGUUUCACCAUGUUGCCCAGGCUGGUCUCAAACUCCUGGGCUCAAGCAAUUCUCCUGCCUUGGCUUCCCAAAGUGCUGGGAUUACAGGUGUGAGCCACCGUGUCUAGUCCCUUAUUUUAUUUUCAGUCAAAUCUGUUUUCCUUUGGUCACCUUGUAGUUCACUCUUCACUUUUUAGAUGAUUUAGUGUUUUCUUGCCUGAGUUCAAC
rnacentral:lncRNA from 1 species